CUCUUUGAAGGUACCUUUGGCAUCUUCAUCCUCUAUGGUUGUGUUGGUGCUGUCGGAAGAUUCCUGAGGAGACAGAGGAGACAGGGUCAAGAUGGACCAAGGACAGCACGCCAGCCCCUCCCAGCCCCAGGUGAUGAUGCCAAUGUGAUGAGGGAGCAGAUGGCAGAGCAGAGAGGAGCAGGAAGCACUGGGGCCACACCAGAGGGGUGGAGGUAGAGGACAGUCUGGGAGCAGAGGCUCCUGGGAAGCAGGCCGGCCCCAACAUCUGCAGCAGAAGGCCCCCCAUGAAGCCUGCUGUGAGCUCCCUUCGAGGGAGUCAUUGUGUCCUGCCAUGGCCUCGGGCAGCUCUCCAACUCUAGCCAGGAUGGAUCUCUUCGGUGCUCCCCGAUUUGGCAAAGGUUUUCUACGGGGAACACCUGCAUAAGGCCUGCGGGGGAUACCAAGUAUGCUACCAGCAACCUCCUAAGACCCACGAUUCAGAAGGCUGAUGCCUGAGACUACAACUCCACAUCUCUGGGAAGACCAGCUGUGAGGUUCACCUGUACAAAAGUCACUCAGGGCAAGGAGGCCAGAGAUGGCCCGGUACCUUCUCAAGGAACAAGGAAGAUUAUAGUAGGGGUAUCACAGGCACCCUUAGCCCUCCUCAGCAGGGGUUCCCCAAGCUUCCCUCUCUGUAAUCCACAGACUAACAUGGUAUAUGGCUCUGACAAAAGUAGUCACAGGUGGGCAAGCCCACUGUUCCUUCAACCACACACCUCCCCGUUACACCACCAUGGCCUCGAUGUUCCCCAGUAAACUCAGGAUGUACUACUCUAGGGUACAAUAUGUGAAGAGCCCAGCCUGGGCCCCGCUAAGCUGGGUUGGCCAGCUGUACAAGGUGAAGUCCUUGCAGAGGAGAGGACUCCACAGCAGACUUCUGGCCUCCCUCAGUGGCAUCCAGACUGCUUCUCACCAGAGCUUCUUAUGGCUCUGUAUGCUCGGGCAUCGGGACAUGGCGACCUGAAGCCACAUACCACCUUGGAAGCUGCAGGGUUUUUGGAGUACUGCUGUGGUGGGCACUGGUUCCUGACAGCCUUCCCCCAUCAUGAUUUUGGUGCUUGUCUCAAAAAUUCUAUCACAAGCAGGUCUCUUGGAGUGAAGCUGCCCUUCUCAUGUCAUCUGCAGGUUCCUAGACCCUCAAUCCCAGGGUAGCCCCAAGGGGUGCUCGUAGGGCUACAGGUGUUGACUCCCCAUUUCUCUACAGAGUGCACUUUGAAAUGCCUCUGACACGUGGUUAGACCCACCCUAGAGUUGCCUGGCAUAGCCCUCUCCCUUGUCCAUGGCUCGCUCUUCUCCAUCCUCCCACAUGGCUCACACCUGCACUGCACCAGCAGCAUGGCUUUCCUUGGCAUGGGCACUUGGCAUGAGCCCGAUACCUGCUUGCUACUGACACCUGGGCCUGACAAAGCUCGGCGAUGGGUCCCUCCCUGAAGCCCAGGAAAGUAGGACUGUCCUAUCUUGAGGAUACUUGUUAUGGCUUUCUGGGCAGCAGGGGAAGAAGAACAUUUCUAGAAGGUGGCAAUUUCAACAAAUCCAACAGGCCAUUUGCAGAAGGCAGGUUUGAUCCUACCCCAGCAAACCAUACAGCCAACCCAGCAUGCUCCCUGUUGGAUUCUGCAUUGGAACCUAGUGAAGGCCAAUAUUGGUCUGAGCUUCAGUAGUAGUGUUUCGGUAUCCCUCAGACAUCCUUGCAGGGUUAGGCCUGCUGAGAUCCCAGGACUGCCUUUGAUUUUAAAAGGGUUCCAUUUAAGUCAAGUCUAUCAAAACCACAGUUCCAAGCUGCGCUACUGGAGAGGGUAUCUGUGGGAAGAGGACAGGGUUUAUUUGGGGUGAAUAUGCUACUACCAAGCAUGCUGCAGCACACUUGACUCAGGCCUAGAAAACCCAGGCAAACAUCAGUGUCCUCAUUUCUGUUCCUCUCACUGGUAGCUCACGUGUGCACUAGACACGGCACAUGGGUGCAUGGCCCAGCCUCCUUGAUUGCAUGGGCUCAGGUCAUAUGCUUCCUGAAGGCUGUCUUUCUCCAGCUCUCAUAUUGGCCCUGGAUUAACUACAGUUCCCUGCAGCCAGGAACCUGUGUACUCCACCCACACAGGAGGAGGCACUUCUGCGAGUCUCAAGUCAAAAGGGAUUUAGAAGGUGCAGCCGGAGCCAAGAGUGGACUAAACAGCCAUGAGAUUCCAGAUACCUAGAGUUGGGGCUCUUCAGACCUGUGCCCCCAACUCAGGAGGGCGUUUUCCAUUUCCAGGCCUCAGGCCAAGCAAUUACCUCCACCCCACAGCCAGCCUGACAGCCACAAGGCACCUUAUUGCAUAUCUGCUCAAUGGGGGAGGGGUGGUGAAAGCGAAAGUGCAACGCGCUUUACAGCAUGGGUCUUCCUGCUGUCAGGGUGCUCUACCACACUGGAGUGCGGACAGCAUCACGGAGAAGGAAGACUCCCCCCCCCCCGCCCCCAACAUGUGCCCUUAGGGUGUAGUUGGCUGGGCCAAUCUAGGAGAAGACGGGACCUUCUGCUCUGCCUUGCCCUCUGUCUAGUCACUAUGGACAGCCAUGCUGAGCUCUGUUGACAUGCACUGACCUCCCUCCAGGACAGAGUGACCCUCAGCACCUGGGGCAGAGCCACAACAUGCAGGCAGCCUCAUGCAAGGUUGCCCUCGCUCACUUGCAGGCAGGCGAGCAUUGCAGCGGAAGUUUUGGGUGGAGCAUGGCUCAGAGGUGACCUGUCUCACACCACUGUCCCCUGGCAAUAGGGCCGCCCUGGCAGCCAUUAUCUUUAUCUUUUUUAAAAAAAUAAACCUAGCCCCUCAUGGGCUUCAAA